AAAACUCAAAGGCGAAAUGAAAGUAAAUAGUGGAAUAUUGAAUUUUAUUGAAUUUUUUCUUUAUUAUUUGAUUUCCCUAUAGGGAAGAUGAAAGCUAUAUUUGAAAUUUAUUUUUAAAUUAUAAGCUUUCCGCAUUCCCGGGGCGCUUGUCUCUCGCUUUGCGAGUCAGUGCGCACCUAGAGCGUACACGCUGAUACCCGAAAGAUGGUGAACUAUGCCUGGCCAGGACGAAGCCAGGGGAAACCCUGGUGGAGGUCCGCAGCGAUUCUGACGUGCAAAUCGAUCGUCGGAGCUGGGUAUAGGGGCGAAAGACCAAUCGAACCAUCUAGUAGCUGGUUCCCUCUGAAGUUUCCCUCAGGAUAGCUYGCAUUCGGUUGAGACGAGUCUCAUCCGGUAGA
rnacentral:rRNA from 1 species